ACACUACUACAAAAGUUUACAUACAUAACAGUGAAUAGAUAACGGUUUUUUUCAAAAACCGUUAUGUAUGAGCGCACUUUUAGGAAUAGAUAACGGUUUUGCGAAAAUCCGUUAUCUAUGUACUGUUGUCUAAAUGCAUAGAUAACGGUUUGAACAAAUGCGUUAUGUUUUUGCGUUAUCUAUAAGUUGCAUACAUAACGGUAUUACAAAACCGUUGUGCCACCGUUAUCUAUGACCAUCUUUUAUAACAGUAAUUUACAACGGUUUUUGAACCGUUAUGUAUAAGAGUCAUUUACAACGGUUUUUGAACCGUUAUGUAUGAGCGUCUCUAAAAACUGUUAUGUAUAAUUUUUUUUAUUAAUUUUUUUAAAAUAAUUUUCUACAUUCUUAUAUUAUAUUAAAAAAUAACAAAUAAAUUAUUUAUCCUAAAAUUUGAAUUUAUUCCUAGAUAUAGACUUUGAAAAAUAAAAAUUCAUAACAUUUUUUUAUUUUAUCAACACUUAUAUAAAAUGUAAAUUAAAAAUCUAAAUUAGAAAUCUAAAUACCAAAAAUUGAAUAUUAAAAGUGAAAAAAAGAAAAAAAUUUAGGAAAUUUAGAAAUUAACCCCUCCUCCCAAACUAGAAGCCCUAGUUCUCUCGACUCUCUCUCUCCCCUCUCGACUCCGCCGCCGGCGCCGCUGCCCCGAGCCAGCCCGUCGCCGCCCACCCUUGUCGCGCUGCGUCGCGCCGCUGCCGCCCACCCUCGCUACGUCUCAUCUCCUCCCCAAAUCUCUCUCUCACUUCGCGAUCUCUCCCUCUUUGAGAGAUAGUCGCCGCCGCUGCCGAGGCAAGUUCCGGCCACAGAAGCACGCCCCCCCUCUGUCCUCCCCGGCCGCAGCAACGUCAGCCACCAAGCUCGUCGCACUUCCCUCGUCUCCCUCUUAAUCUCCUCUCUCUCUGACUCAAAUGCACGCACACCAUACCGCGCCUGAAAUCCUAGAUCUAUAAUCUACAGCCACCUCCCUGUCGAUUCCCGUCUACCGCACGGCGGGAAGGCCGCCGCCUCCGAGCUCAGCCCAAAGCCCCCUCUGCUCUCCAUACUCCGGCGACAACAGCGACUCCUUGCCGCCGCCGUGCCCUAGCUUCAAUCCGCCGCUGAACUCCCUCUUCCGUGCCCUAGCUUCAAUCCACCGCUUCAAUCUAUACUACUUUGGGUGAAUGAAGAAGCUAACUCUUGCUCACCGUGCAGGUAUGAAUAUAUCGAGAAUCACCUAUUGGGUUCGCCUCAAUAUACAAUUCACAGUAUAGCUCCUUACCAGUCAAAAGACAUUGAGAAAGCAGAGGAGCUAACUUUUGGAUGGAGCACUCUAGGAAAUAGCAAUAGUGAAAACUGCAUCCAAUCGUUCUUGCUACUCUUUAUUAAUGAUCAUUUGCCUGCGGUUUAUCUGUGCAAGUGAGUUCAUUUGCUCAGGUGCUUGACACAACUGCGAUGCUCAGUGUUGUUCCCCCAAGAUACAAGUGGACUGGUGGAGAGAUUGGUUUCUCCACAGCUAUUGGCAAGCAAGAUACAAGAGCCUUCCAUUCAUGAACUUGUUAGAGAACGACUCUGAUGCUGAGGCAAGCCACGAAAUUAUGGCUAUGAACUAUGCAGGUUGAGGUGGCUGUAGUGUUGGUGCUUAAAAAUGGAGAAUUCUGGAGCGGUGGAGGGAAUCGAAUACUGGCUGCAGUGGCAGGUACUGCUUUGCGCCUUCGCCUUUAUCGCCAUGGCUUACUUGCUCUACGAGACUGUUGCUGCCUUCGGAUUCUUCGUCUUCUUUUUCUACACUCAGUCAGUAACUCCUCUCUCUCUCUG